AACGAACGCUGGCGGCGCGCCUAAUACAUGCAAGUCGAGCGAGAAAGUGUAGCAAUACACUUGUAAAGCGGCGAACGGGUGAGGAAUACAUGGGUAAUCUACCAUCGAGUGGGGAAUAACCAACCGAAAGGUUGGCUAAUACCGCGUACGCCUCCGAGUCUUCGGGUUCGGAGGGAAAGCUGCACUGUGAGUGUAGCGCUCUUUGAUGAGCUCAUGUCCUAUCAGCUUGUUGGUAGGGUAAUGGCCUACCAAGGCUUUGACGGGUAGCUGGUCUGAGAGGACGAUCAGCCACACUGGCACUGCGACACGGGCCAGACUCCUACGGGAGGCAGCAGUAAGGAAUAUUGCGCAAUGGGCGAAAGCCUGACGCAGCGACGCCGCGUGGGGGAUGAAGGUCUUCGGAUUGUAAACCCCUUUCGGGAGGGAAGAUGGAGCGAGCAAUCGUUCGGACGGUACCUCCAGAAGCAGCCACGGCCAACUUCGUGCCAGCAGCCGCGGUAAUACGAAGGUGGCAAGCGUUGUUCGGAUUCACUGGGCGUACAGGGUGUGUAGGCGGUUUGGUAAGCCUUCUGUUAAAGCUUCGGGCCCAACCCGGAAAGCGCAGAGGGUACUGCCAGGCUAGAGGGUGGGAGAGGAGCGCGGAAUUCCCGGUGUAGCGGUGAAAUGCGUAGAGAUCGGGAGGGAAGGCCGGUGGCGAAGCGGCGCUCUGGAACAUACCUGACGCUGAGACACGAAAGCGUGGGGAGC
rnacentral:rRNA from 1 species